rnacentral:rRNA from 1 species
UCUCCUGGAAAAGGGUGGUAAUGCCGGAUGCUCCAGUUGAUCGCAUGGUCUUCUGGGAAAGCUUUCGCGGUAUGGGAUGGGGUCGCGUCCUAUCAGCUUGACGGCGGGGUAACGGCCCACCGUGGCUUCGACGGGUAGCCGGCCUGAGAGGGCGACCGGCCACAUUGGGACUGAGAUACGGCCCAGACUCCUACGGGAGGCAGCAGUGGGGAAUAUUGCACAAUGGGCGCAAGCCUGAUGCAGCGACGCCGCGUGAGGGAUGGAGGCCUUCGGGUUGUAAACCUCUUUUAUCGGGGAGCAAGCGAGAGUGAGUUUACCCGUUGAAUAAGCACCGGCUAACUACGUGCCAGCAGCCGCGGUAAUACGUAGGGUGCAAGCGUUAUCCGGAAUUAUUGGGCGUAAAGGGCUCGUAGGCGGUUCGUCGCGUCCGGUGUGAAAGUCCAUCGCUUAACGGUGGAUCCGCGCCGGGUACGGGCGGGCUUGAGUGCGGUAGGGGAGACUGGAAUUCCCGGUGUAACGGUGGAAUGUGUAGAUAUCGGAAAGAAACACCA